rnacentral:rRNA from 1 species
UUGACCUCAAAUCGGGUGAGACUACCCGCUGAACUUAAGCAUAUCAAUAAGCGGAGGAAAAGAAACUAACAAGGAUUCCCCUAGUAACUGCGAGUGAAGCGGGAAAAGCUCAAAUUUAAAAUCUGGCGGUCUU